UCCUCCAGGAUGGAGCCCCCGGACGUGCCUGAUGGCGGCCCGCGGGCAGGGGGGUGCCCGGCCCUGGCGCCUGUGCUGAGGCCCCCUCCCCCCCCCCCCAGUUCUCAGGCUUCUGGUACGAGAUCGCCUACGCCUCCAAGGUCCGCGCCCCGCCCGCCAGGCAGGUGGUGGGGGUGCAGGUGGAGUGGGAGGGCGGCCACCUGGCCCUGACCACCGCCUACAAGGAUGAGACCGGCUGUGUGACGGAAAAGCGGGUGGCCAUGAAGGGGGACGUCCCGGGGAAGUUCAAGCUGCCCAAGGAGUUCGGAGACCAGGAGAUCGCGGUGGUGAGCACAGACUACGGGGCCUACGCCAUCCUGCACCUGCAGGCCCACCCGGGGGCGGCCGGCGCCGGGCUCCUCAAGCUCUGCAG